AUGAACGCUAGCUACAGGCUUAACACAUGCAAGUCGAGGGGCAGCAUGAGCUUAGCUUGCUAAGCUUGAUGGCGACCGGCGCACGGGUGAGUAACACGUAUCCAACCUCCCGCUUACUCAGGAAUAGCCUUUCGAAAGAAAGAUUAAUGCCUGAUGGUAUCUUAAGCACACAUGUAAUUAAGAUUAAAGAUUUAUCGGUAAGCGAUGGGGAUGCGUUCCAUUAGGUAGUAGGCGGGGUAACGGCCCACCUAGCCGACGAUGGAUAGGGGUUCUGAGAGGAAGGUCCCCCACAUUGGAACUGAGACACGGUCCAAACUCCUACGGGAGGCAGCAGUGAGGAAUAUUGGUCAAUGGGCGCGAGCCUGAACCAGCCAAGUAGCGUGAAGGAUGAAGGUCCUACGGAUUGUAAACUUCUUUUAUACGGGAAUAAAGUGGCCUACGUGUAGGCUUUUGCAUGUACCGUAUGAAUAAGCAUCGGCUAACUCCGUGCCAGCAGCCGCGGUAAUACGGAGGAUGCGAGCGUUAUCCGGAUUUAUUGGGUUUAAAGGGAGCGUAGACGGGGGAUUAAGUCAGUUGUGAAAGUUUGCGGCUCAACCGUAAAAUUGCAGUUGAUACUGGUUCCCUUGAGUGCAGUUGAGGCAGGCGGAAUUCGUGGUGUAGCGGUGAAAUGCAUAGAUAUCACGAAGAACCCCGAUUGCGAAGGCAGCCUGCUAAGCUGUAACUGACGUUGAGGCUCGAAAGUGUGGGUAUCAAACAGGAUUAGAUACCCUGGUAGUCCACACGGUAAACGAUGGAUACUCGCUGUUGGCGAUAUACUGUCAGCGGCCAAGCGAAAGCAUUAAGUAUCCCACCUGGGGAGUACGCCGGCAACGGUGAAACUCAAAGGAAUUGACGGGGGCCCGCACAAGCGGUGGAGCAUGUGGUUUAAUUCGAAGCAACGCGAAGAACCUUACCAGGUCUUGACAUCGAUCUAAAGGCUCCAGAGAUGGAGAGAUAGCUAUAGAGAAGACAGGUGGUGCAUGGUUGUCGUCAGCUCGUGCCGUGAGGUGUCGGCUUAAGUGCCAUAACGAGCGCAACCCUCGUGGCCAGUUACUAUCAGGUAAGGCUGAGGACUCUGGCCAGACUGCCAUCGUAAGAUGCGAGGAAGGUGGGGAUGACGUCAAAUCAGCACGGCCCUUACGUCCGGGGCUACACACGUGUUACAAUGGGAGGUACAGAAGGCAGCUACCCGGCGACGGGAUGCCAAUCCCGAAAGCCUCUCUCAGUUCGGACUGGAGUCUGCAACCCGACUCCACGAAGCUGGAUUCGCUAGUAAUCGCGCAUCAGCCACGGCGCGGUGAAUACGUUCCCGGGCCUUGUACACACCGCCCGUCAAGCCAUGAAAGCCGGGGGUACCUGAAGUGCGUAACCGCAAGGAGCGCCCUAGGGUAAAACCGGUAAUUGGGGCU
rnacentral:rRNA from 1 species